GGCCCCGUAGUUCAAUGGAUAGAACAGGAGACUUCUAAGCUCUUGAUCGAGGUUCGAUUCCUCGCGGGGCCACCA
rnacentral:tRNA from 1 species